GAAUUACUCCCUCUGUCCGGAAAUACUUGUCCUAGAAAUGGAUACUGAAAAUAUUUGUCCUAGAAAUGGUUGUAUCUAGACUUAUUUUAGUUAUAUACAUCCAUUUUAUCCAUUUUUAGGACAAGUAUUUCCGGACGGAGGGAGUAUUUA
rfam:Triticum aestivum genome assembly, contig: Triticum_aestivum_CS42_TGACv1_scaffold_222047_3B